rnacentral:rRNA from 1 species
AGUUACCAUCAUUAAGUUGGGGACGUCUAGCGAGACUGCCAGUGAUAAAUUGGAGGAAGGUGGGGAUGACGUCAAAUCAUCAUGCCCCUUAUGACCUGGGCUACAAACGUGAUACAAUGGCUGGAACAAAGGGAUGCGAAGCAGUGAUGUGGAGCGAAACCCAUAAAAACAGUCUCAGUUCGGAUUGAAGUCUGCAACUCGACUUCAUGAAGUCGGAAUCGCUAGUAAUCGCGGAUCAGAACGCCGCGGUGAAUACGUUCUCGGGGUUU